UCCAUCGCUGGGCGCAGCCUGAUCCAGCAAUGCCGCGUGAGUGAAGAAGGCCUUCGGGUUGUAAAGCUCUUUUGUCAGGGAAGAAACGGCUCAGGCUAAUAUCCUGGGCUAAUGACGGUACCUGAAGAAUAAGCACCGGCUAACUACGUGCCAGCAGCCGCGGUAAUACGUAGGGUGCAAGCGUUAAUCGGAAUUACUGGGCGUAAAGCGUGCGCAGGCGGUUUUGUAAGUCUGACGUGAAAGCCCCGGGCUCAACCUGGGAAUUGCGUUGGAGACUGCAAGGCUUGAAUCUGGCAGAGGGGGGUAGAAUUCCACGUGUAGCAGUGAAAUGCGUAAAGAUGUGGAGGAACACCGAUGGCGAAGGCAGCCCCCUGGGUCAAGAUUGACGCUCAUGCACGAAAGCGUGGGGAGCAAACAGGAUUAGAUACCCUGGUAGUCCACGCCCUAAACGAUGUCUACUAGUUGUCGGGUUUUAAUUAACUUGGUAACGCAGCUAACGCGUGAAGUAGACCGCCUGGGGAGUACGGUCGCAAGAUUAAAACUCAAUGAAAUUUGACGGA
rnacentral:rRNA from 1 species